AAUUCAUACUAGAGAGAAAUCCUAUGAAGGUGUUCAAUAUGAUGAAGCCUUGGUACAUCACAGUAAUCUCCAAACACAUAAAAGAACACAUCCUAAAGAGAAACCCUACAAAUGCGAUCAAUGUGAUAAAGCCUAUUCACAACACAGUCAUCUCCAAAGACAUAAAAGAACACAUACUAUGACUGUAACCAAUGUGAUAGAGCCUUUACAGGUCACAGUGAUCUUCAAAGGUAUGGAAGUUUGAAUAUGCUUGGCCCAUGGCAAGUGGCACUAUUAGGAGUUGUGGCCUUCUUUGAGGAAGUGGAUCACUAUGGCAGUGGGCUUUGAGAUCCUAUGCGUAAGCCCCUCCCAGGGCAGAAGAGUUUUCUGGGUGCCUUCUAAUCAAGAUGUAAAACUC
rnacentral:lncRNA from 1 species